GAUGAACGCUGGCGGCGUGCCUAAUACAUGCAAGUAGAACGCUGAAGCUUGGUGCUUGCACCGAGCGGAUGAGUUGCGAACGGGUGAGUAACGCGUAGGUAACCUGCCUCUUAGCGGGGGAUAACUAUUGGAAACGAUAGCUAAUACCGCAUAAAAGUCGACAUUGCAUGAUGUUGACUUGAAAGGUGCAAUUGCAUCACUAAGAGAUGGACCUGCGUUGUAUUAGCUAGUUGGUGAGGUAACGGCUCACCAAGGCGACGAUACAUAGCCGACCUGAGAGGGUGAUCGGCCACACUGGGACUGAGACACGGCCCAGACUCCUACGGGAGGCAGCAGUAGGGAAUCUUCGGCAAUGGGGGCAACCCUGACCGAGCAACGCCGCGUGAGUGAAGAAGGUUUUCGGAUCGUAAAGCUCUGUUGUAAGAGAAGAACGAGUGUGAGAGUGGAAAGUUCACACUGUGACGGUAACUUACCAGAAAGGGACGGCUAACUACGUGCCAGCAGCCGCGGUAAUACGUAGGUCCCGAGCGUUAUCCGGAUUUAUUGGGCGUAAAGCGAGCGCAGGCGGUUAGAUAAGUCUGAAGUUAAAGGCUGUGGCUUAACCAUAGUACGCUUUGGAAACUGUUUAACUUGAGUGCAGAAGGGGAGAGUGGAAUUCCAUGUGUAGCGGUGAAAUGCGUAGAUAUAUGGAGGAACACCGGGUGGCGAAAGCGGCUCUCUGGUCUGUAACUGACGCUGAGGCUCGAAAGCGUGGGGAGCAAACAGG
rnacentral:rRNA from 1 species